UACAGAGGGUGCGAGCGUUGUCCGGAAUCACUGGGCGUAAAGCGCACGUAGGCGGACAUUUAAGUCAGGGGUGAAAUCCCGGGGCUCAACCCCGGAACGGCCUUUGAUACUGGGUGUCUUGAGUUCGGAAGAGGUGAGUGGAAUUGCGAGUGUAGAGGUGAAAUUCGUAGAUAUUCGCAGGAACACCAGUGGCGAAGGCGGCUCACUGGUCCGAUACUGACGCUGAGGAGCGAAAGCAUGGGUAGCGAACAGG
rnacentral:rRNA from 1 species